rnacentral:rRNA from 1 species
CGAUAACGAACGAGACCUUAACCUGCUAAAUAGUUAGGCCAACGUUUGUUGGUCGUCAACUUCUUAGAGGGACUAUUGACUAUUAGUCAAUGGAAGUUUGAGGCAAUAACAGGUCUGUGAUGCCCUUAGAUGUUCUGGGCCGCACGCGCGCUACACUGAUCAAGUCAACGAGUUUACAACCUUGGCCGGAAGGUCUGGGUAAUCUUUUGAAACUUGAUCGUGCUGGGGAUAGUCCAUUGCAAUUAUUGGACUUCAACGAGGAGUUCCUAGUAAGCGUGAGUCAUCAGCUCGCGUUGAUUACGUCCCUGCCCUUUGUACACACCGCCCGUCGCUACUACCGAUUGAAUGGCU